UACGGGGGGGGUAAGCGUUGUUCGGAAUUACUGGGCGUAAAGGGCUCGUAGGCGGCCAACUAAGUCAUACGUGAAAUCCCUCAGCUUAACUGGGGAACUGCGUCUGAUACUGGAUGGCUUGGAUUCGGGAGAGGAAUGCGGAAUUCCAGGUGUAGCGGUGAAAUGCGUAGAUAUCUGGAGGAACACCGGUGGCGAAGGCGGCAUCCUGGGCCAACACUGACGCUGAGUGAGCGAAAGCCAGGGGAGCAAACGGG
rnacentral:rRNA from 1 species